GGCGAGGAGCUCAGUGAGAAGAGCCACGCCAGCAGGUGCAGCUCCCGCCCAGCAUGGCUUCGCCACGCUGCCAUGGCCACCAAUACUUGCUUGGGGUAGGAAAGCGAGGUCUCCCUCUGUGUUAGGGACAGCAGACUCCUCCGAUGAUGUACUGAAGCUACGCUGAAGAUGUGAAAUCCCUUUCAGAACAAGAGGAGAGCUGGGUGCUUGGUACAGGAAAGGGGCCAUGAGGGCUGCUGGAGGCCCUGCUGGGGUCUCUGCCCUGCUACUUGCAGCUACAGGGGCUGGCUGUAUCCUGGGGGCUAUGGCCAGGGAUGGCUUCUUCCCAAACAGCUCCCUCAGCAGCACCCAGAGUGGACAAACUGCUCUUCUCACUUACAGCUCUGUGGGGACCAGUGUCUCAGAGGUCCCACCUGCCUGAGACGCAGAGCUCCCGCAAGCUGGCCUCUGUGCUGAGCAAGUGGUGCAUGGCCUCAUCUCGCCAGAAAAGGACCCUGGGCACUGAGUGAUGGGUGCACCUCUUCAGGGAUUUCUACCAAAAGAAUUUCAAAGCACGAGAGGCAGGGCAGGCUGCUCAGAGUACCCACCUUAUAUAGAAACAUGCUCGAUGCAAUCAACGAAACAGAACAGCAGUUUUGGCCUCAUCAAAAAUAUGUCCUCUAAGAACAUAAAACACAACCUAACUCCCAGAAUCAAAAGGGCCCGAGGGAGGGUACCUGUGAACGGUUCCCGCGGGUGGGUCUAAGAAAGAAGAACACUCAAAAUACCGAAGCUUUACAGUGCCAUGCAGAGCAGACACCCAAGGAGACAGAGACAAAAACAAAAACAAAAAAGAAAAUCAAACCAGCGGUCAGCACCAGCUUGGCCUGCCAUAUCUUCCUUGGAUAAUUUACGAUGCUGUACAAUAUUGGGAGCUCAGAACACUCACCCACAGUGCAGUCAAAGAGCAAUUAGUGAUUUCCUAAAGACAAUAAAUAUGGCUCACUUGUGAGCACUCCCUCCCCUGGUGCGCCUGCCCCUCUGUGGCACCUGUGGCGAGGCAGACAUCCACACCCACACACCCCACACAGACCCACGGCCUGAGGUGCUCAGGUCCUCCAAUACUCGUGAGCCAGAGCAGUGUGGCAGUGUGGCCACUUCGGCAGGAUGCCCAGCACGAGUGCAGGAGCAGCCCAGGCGAGCGGGCAGACGAGCGCUGCAGAGGGAGUUGCUUCCUGGCGUGGUGGCCCCGCUUUCCAUCACUCCUGAGCCGCUCACUGUCUGGUGCCAGUCAGCAUGGAGUGGAUUGCGUUGCUCAGGUGGACAAGCAGGAGCGCUGCUGGCUGGGAGAGUGUCUACAGCCAACUAGUCCUUGUCUCCGUCUUCACUGCUGCCUAUGUCCAGACAGAAGCAACAUAACAGCGCAGGUCAGAUUUAAGAGCCGACUACCCAGAGAGUGCCAGCAUGGAGGCGAGCAGACCAGAACGGCAGGAAAAGGAAGCAUAGCUGGUGCCCUCCUGUGCUGCCCUGUCUCCCCUCCUUCCCACAACCUGCAGGGCUGCACACACAGGUGCUUGGCUCCCACAGAGGCUCCAUGGUCACACUCGGGCGCUGACCUGUACACCUGCCCCCAGAGAUCCUCAGGCUCUGGCAUUAUCUCAUCGGCACAGGUGAAAACCAAGUAAACAAAAGUGCUUU
rnacentral:lncRNA from 1 species